AGGUUACUGCUAUCGGUGUUCGCCUAAGCCAUGCGAGUCAUAUGUUCGUAAGAACAUGGCGUACUGCUCAGUAACACGUGGAUAACCUGCCCUUGGGUCCGGCAUAACCCCGGGAAACUGGGGAUAAUUCCGGAUAACGCACAUAUGCUGGAAUGCUUUAUGCGUAAAAUGGAUUCGUCUGCCCAAGGAUGGGUCUGCGGCCUAUCAGGUAGUAGUGGGUGUAAUGUACCUACUAGCCUACGACGGGUACGGGUUGUGAGAGCAAGAGCCCGGAGAUGGAUUCUGAGACAUGAAUCCAGGCCCUACGGGGCGCAGCAGGCGCGAAAACUUUACAAUGCGGGAAACCGUGAUAAGGGGACACCGAGUGCCAGCAUCCUAUGCUGGCUGUCCGGGUGUGUAAAAUACACCUGUUAGCAAGGGCCGGGCAAGACCGGUGCCAGCCGCCGCGGUAACACCGGCGGCCCGAGUGGUGAUCGUGAUUAUUGGGUCUAAAGGGUCCGUAGCCGUUUUGGUCAGUCCUCCGGGAAAUCUGACAGCUUAACUGUUAGGCUUUCGGAGGAUACUGCCAGACUUGGAACCGGGAGAGGUAAGAGGUACUACAGGGGUAGGAGUGAAAUCUUGUAAUCCCUGUGGGACCACCUGUGGCGAAGGCGUCUUACCAGAACGGGUUCGACGGUGAGGGACGAAAGCUGGGGGCACGAACCGGAUUAGAUACCCGGGUAGUCCCAGCCGUAAACGAUGCUCGCUAGGUGUCAGGCAUGGCGCGACCGUGUCUGGUGCCGCAGGGAAGCCGUGAAGCAAGCCACCUGGGAGGUACGGCCGCAAGGCUGAAACUCAA
rnacentral:rRNA from 1 species